UUUGAGACCAAUUCCUUCCUGUACUUGAUAACCUCAAUGUCGAUGUGAAGCCUUGAAAACAGUUAGAGAAUAUCAGCAGAAUGAUUAGGCAAUCAGGUUUCUUAAAGGUCUUAAUGAUGGAUUUGCAGCUGUUAGAUCUCAGAUCAUGUUAAUUGAUCCUCCCUUGUUAUAGAACAUGAACGACAAAUGAAUUCAGGUGUAAUUUCUCAAUCUAUGGAUCUGAAUCAUA
rnacentral:lncRNA from 1 species